AUCGCUUUCUCAGCCUUUUGGCUAAGAUCAAGUGUAGUAAUGAUUCUGUGAUUCUGUAAUAGCAACCCCAGCAGUGAGUCACCAGCUAGUUUUGAAACAAAACUCUGUCCAAAAUUAUAUGGUUCAGAAUAAGAAAUAAAGGUCAGUGUUACUCCUGUUCAUCACACUUACAUUACAGUGUAUAUGAUACCUACA
rfam:Gavia stellata contig102470, whole genome shotgun sequence.